rnacentral:lncRNA from 1 species
GAGAAGGAAGGAAGAAGGAAAAAAGAAAAGGGGAGGGAGACUGAAAACAAAUUAGAGGAAAAAGGAAGGAAAGGUGGGAGAGGGAAGAAAGAGAUGGGGAGGGAAAGAAAAAGAAGGAGGAGAGAAAGGAGUCAAAUGGGGGUGCAGAAAGGAAGAAGGAAGGGAGCAAGGAAGAAAAAAGAAAUGGGGGAGGGGGGAGGAACCCUUCCUCCACAAGAUAUCGAAGCCUCUCCCUCUUCAUCUGCAAGCCAGUGGACUGCAGAAGAACUAGCUACAUCUCCAAAUAGAAGUAUCUAGAAUAUGAAAGAAAAAGGAGGUUUGCUUAAGGCUUAAGAACAAACACUCGAGUGUGCUUUGUAUGAUGCUGGAGGCUUCUUUGGAGCUCAAUUUCCAAAUACAGAAUGCAGCACAGGGAGUUGGAAGAGGCCUGGGCACUGAGGGACACUCCUGACCUUCCAGCAAAGCAUCUCCAUUGGGAGUGGAAGGCAAGACACAGCCACACAGAGUUUGUGGCCUUGGGGAAAAACACAAGUCCAUCAUCCCUAUAACUGAAACCUAUGUGUUCCCAUUUUAGUCUCCUACCUUAAAAUCGGGGAAAACUGUUUCCAGUGCAAAUACUUGACCAUGAGCAAGGAUAACAUAGCAAAACAGGAAGAAGCAAGCCUUUGGUGCUGGAAGAAAAAACUGGGGAAGGGGUAGAUCAACCCACAAGCAGCCCCUUCUAGAGCUACCUGCUCUGCUCUUCCCUUUGGAUUCACUUUUGGUGUUUUCUGAGACCCCAGCAAAGGGGCCUUUCUCCUCAAAUGACUACUUCAGAAUUCUAUCAUUGCUUAUGUCCUAUCCCUUCCAGAAAGCCAGCAUCAGAGCCACCCAGUCUGACAACCCAUUUGGCAUGGAAGUGUUAAUGACUGACAGCUACCAGCCAGCUCAGCUCAACUCAAAUCAGGCUUGUCUGGACUGAUAAGCAACUGGCAUGGGGGUUAAUGGCUGAUGAGCUACUAGGCUGUACAGGUCAACUUCGUUUGUUAGAACAUACCCAGAAAGAAUAACUUCCAAAGUGGAGAUCCUAGGGAGGGGCCAGAUGGAGACUGAAGGCAUCGGAGAAGAAAGACUUUUGAAGCAGGUGUCGAAACAGACCACACAGAGGCAUGAUCAAACCUCUGCCUGUCUUUCUGAAUAUUUUGGCUAAUUGAGACGUUGCUGUCCUAUACACACACAUCCACAUGUGCACAAGUGCACAUGCCCUUGUGGCCUAAGCACUUCUAUCCCUUGGUCAUCCAUGCUCUAACACCUGGAAAGCUUUCAGAUUAUCAAAAUUGAGAUCCUGGCUUCUAUCAAUAGGAGCAAGUCAGUAGAAAGGACCGUAAAAACACAAACAGGACA